rnacentral:miRNA from 1 species
AUUAUUUUCCUAUCAGCGUAGCAU